rnacentral:rRNA from 1 species
CGGCGGACGGGUGAGUAACGCGUGGGUAACCUGCCUCAUACAGGGGGAUAACAGUUGGAAACGGCUGCUAAUACCGCAUAAGCGCACAGUACCGCAUGGUACGUGUGAAAAACUCCGGUGGUAUGAGAUGGACCCGCGUCUGAUUAGGUAGUUGGUGGGGUAACGGCCUACCAAGCCGACGAUCAGUAGCCGACCUGAGAGGGUGACCGGCCACAUUGGGACUGAGACACGGCCAA